rnacentral:rRNA from 1 species
AGUGCGAUCGGUGGAUGCCUUGGCACCAAGAGCCGAUGAAGGACGUUGUAACCUGCGAUAAGCCCUGGGGAGUUGGUAAACGAGCUGUGAUCCGGGGGUGUCCGAAUGGGGAAACCUGGAAUGUCCGGAGUAGUGUCCGGUGACCCUGCCCUGAAUGUAUAGGGGUGUGGGAGGUAACGCGGGGAAGUGAAACAUCUUAGUACCCGUAGGAAGAGAAAACAACCGUGAUUCCGUGAGUAGUGGCGAGCGAAAGUGGAUGAGGCUAAACCGUGUGUGUGUGUUCAAGCCGGCAGGUGUUGCAUGUGGGGGCCUUUUGGUUCUGCUGCCGCAGGAUUGGCCAGUGAUAAAUGUUGCGUGAAGGUGAAGCGUCUGGGAAGGCGUACCGGAGUGGGUGAGAGUCCCGUAACUGUAAGCGUGGCACUGGUGAGGGUUGCCCCAAGUAGCGUGGAACUCGUGGAAUUUCGCGUGAAUCUGGCGGGACCACCCGUCAAGCCUAAAUACUCCUUGGUGACCGAUAGUGUAUUAGUACCGUGAGGGAAUGGUGAAAAGUACCCCGGGAGGGGAGUGAAAUAGUACCUGAAACCGGUCGCAUACAAGCCGUCAGAGCCUUGUGGGGUGAUGGCGUGCCUUUUGAAGAAUGAGCCUGCGAGUUAGUGAUGCGUGGCGAGGUUAACCUGUGUGGGGGAGUCGUAGCGAAAGCGAGUCUGAUAAGGGCGUGAGUCGCGUGUUCUAGACCCGAAGCGGUGUGAUCUAUCCAUGGCCAGGAUGAAGCGUCGGUAAGACGUCGUGGAGGUCCGAACCCACUUCAGUUGAAAAUGGAGGGGAUGAGCUGUGGAUAGGGGUGAAAGGCCAAUCAAACACCGUGAUAGCUGGUUCUCCCCGAAAUGCAUUUAGGUGCAGCGUUGCGUGGUUCUUGUCGGAGGUAGAGCACUGGAUGGUCUAGGGGGCCUAUCAGCUUACCGAAAUCAGCCAAACUCCGAAUGCCGGCAAGUGGAGCGUGGCAGUGAGACGGCGGGGGAUAAGCUUCGUCGUCGAGAGGGAAACAGCCCAGAUCAUCAGCUAAGGCCCCUAAGUGGUAGCUCAGUGGAAAAGGAUGUGGAGUUGCGCAGACAGCCAGGAGGUUGGCUUGGAAGCAGCCAUCCUUGAAAGAGUGCGUAAUAGCUCACUGGUCAAGUGAUUCCGCGCCGACAAUGUAGCGGGGCUUAAGUUAUCCGCCGAAGCUGUGGCAAACCCGUUUUGCGGGUUUGGGUAGGGGAGCGUCCUGUACGAGGUGAAGCUGCCGGGUGACCGUGUGGUGGAUUGUGCGGGAGUGAGAAUGCAGGCAUGAGUAGCGAAUGACGGGUGAAAAACCCGUCCGCCGAUUAUCCAAGGGUUCCAGGGUCAAGUUAAUCUGCCCUGGGUGAGUCGGGACCUAAGGCGAGGCCGAAAGGCGUAGUCGAUGGAUAACCAGUUGAUAUUCUGGUACCGGCUUGUCACCGUCCGUGUCGAGGUGUGUGAUGCUAAGCGUGCGAGCCUGCCAUUGUGAUGUCUUUGAUGUUGUGGUGGUGUGGUGAGUGUGUGAACCGAUCAUGUAGUAGGCAAGCUGCGGAGGGACGCAGGGAGGUAGCUCAUCCCCGGCGAUGGUUGUCCGGGGCUAAAUGUGUGGACCGUCUGGUAGGUAAAUCCGCUGGGCAUAUGGUUGAGGCAUGAUGGCGAGCCCACGUGUGUGGGUGAGUGAGUGAUCCUGUACUGUCGAGAAAAGCUUCGUGAGCGAGGUGGCUGGUCCGCCCGUACCCUAAACCGACACUGGUGGAUAGGUAGAGUAUACCGAGGCGAUCGAGAUCAUCAUGGUGAAGGAACUCGGCAAAAUGCCCCCGUAACUUCGGGAUAAGGGGGACCUGAACUGUUAAGGCCUGUACGGCUGGUAGCAGUGAGGGGCGCAGAGACCAGGGGGAAACGACUGUUUACCAAAAACACAGGUCCGUGCGAAGUCGUAAGACGAUGUAUACGGACUGACUCCUGCCCGGUGCUGGAAGGUUAAGGGGAACUGUUAGCGUUGGCGAAGCGGUGAACUUAAGCCCCAGUAAACGGCGGUGGUAACUAUAACCAUCCUAAGGUAGCGAAAUUCCUUGUCGGGUAAGUUCCGACCUGCACGAAUGGAGUAACGAUUUCCCUACUGUCUCCACCAUGAACUCGGUGAAAUUGCAGUACGAGUAAAGAUGCUCGUUACGCGCAGCAGGACGGAAAGACCCCGGGACCUUUACUAUAGUUUGGUAUUGGUGAUUGGGACGACUUGUGUAGGAUAGGUGGGAGACUGUGAAGUGGCCACGCUAGUGGUUGUGGAGUCAUUGUUGAAAUACCACUCUGGUCGUUCUGGUUAUCUAACUUUGGGCCGUGAUCCGGUUCAGGGACAGUGCCUGAUGGGUAGUUUGACUGGGGCGGUCGCCUCCUAAAAGGUAACGGAGGCGCCCAAAGGUUCCC